AGGAAUUUAGGUUAAGCAGACCAAGAGCCUUCAAAGCCCUAAGUAAGUAUGAUUUACUUAAUUCCUG
rnacentral:tRNA from 1 species